rnacentral:rRNA from 1 species
CCUACGGGAGGCAGCAGUGAGGAAUUUUCCGCAAUGGGCGCAAGCCUGACGGAGCAAUGCCGCGUGAAGGAAGAAGGCCCGUGGGUUGUAAACUUCUUUUCUUAGAGAAGACGUAUUUGAGGAAUAAGCAUCGGCUAACCCUGUGCCAGCAGCCGCGGUAAUACAGAGGAUGCAAGCGUUAUCCGGAAUGAUUGGGCGUAAAGGGUCUGUAGGUGGUUUUGACAGUCUGCUGUUAAAUCUCAGGGCUCAACCCUGUUAAGGCGCAUGAAACUACGAAUCUUGAGUACGGUAGGGGCAGAGGGAAUUCCCGGUGGAGUGGUGAAAUGCGUAGAUCUCGGGAAGAACACCAAAGGCGAAAGCACUCUGCUGGGCGAACUGACACUGAGGGACGAAAGCUAGGGGAGCGAAAGGGAUUAGAUACCCUUGUAGUC